CCUAUGGGGGGCAGCAGGCGCGAAACCUCCGCAAUGCGAGCAAUCGCGACGGGGGGACCCCAAGUGCCACUCUUAACGGGGUGGCUUUUCUUAAGUGUAAAAAGCUUUUGGAAUAAGGGCUGGGCAAGACCGGUGCCAGCCGCCGCGGUAACACCGGCAGCUCUAGUGGUAGCCAUUUUUAUUGGGCCUAAAGCGUUCGUAGCCGGUUUGAUAAGUCUCUGGUGAAAUCCUAUAGCUUAACUGUGGGACUUGCUGGAGAUACUAUUAGACUUGAGGUCGGGAGAGGUUAGCGGUACUCCCAGGGUAGGGGUGAAAUCCUGUAAUCCUGGGAGGACCACCUGUGGCGAAGGCGGCUAACUGGAACGAACCUGACGGUGAGGGACGAAAGCCAGGGGCGCGAACCGGAUUAGAUACCCACGUAGUCC
rnacentral:rRNA from 1 species